UCCCGUGUGGCUCAGUUGGUAGAGCAUGGUGUUUGCAACGCCAGGGUUGUGGGUUUGAUUCCCCCAGGGGAC
rnacentral:tRNA from 1 species